rnacentral:rRNA from 1 species
GACGAACGCUGGCGGCGUGCUUAACACAUGCAAGUCGAGCGGUAAGGCCCUUUCGGGGGUACACGAGCGGCGAACGGGUGAGUAACACGUGGGUGACCUGCCCUCAGCUCUGGGAUAAGCCUGGGAAACCGGGUCUAAUACUGGAUAUGACUCCAUGACGCAUGUUGUGGGGUGGAAAGCCUUGUGCGGCUGAGGAUGGGCCCGCGGCCUAUCAGCUUGUUGGUGGGGUGANGGCCUACCAAGGCGACGACGGGUAGCCGGCCUGAGAGGGCGACCGGCCACACUGGGACUGAGACACGGCCCAGACUCCUACGGGAGGCAGCAGUGGGGAAUCUUGCGCAAUGGGCGAAAGCCUGACGCAGCGACGCCGCGUGAGGGAUGAAGGUCUUAGGAUUGUAAAGCUCUUUCGCCCGUGACGAUGAUGACGGUAACGGGAGAAGAGCCCCGGCUAACUUCGUGCCAGCCGCCGCCGUAAG